GGUAAGGUGGCUGAGUCUUAAGUGGUGGGUUGUAGCCCCAUAAAUAGAGGUUUGAGUCCUCUCCUUAUCA
rnacentral:tRNA from 1 species